rnacentral:tRNA from 1 species
GGAGAGGUGGCAGAGUGGUCUAUUGCGGCGGUCUUGAAAACCGCUUCCCGCUAUGCGGGACGGGGGUUCGAAUCCCUCCCUCUCCGCCA